GUGCAAAGGUAGCAUAAUCAUUUGCCAUUUAAUUGGUGGCUGGAAUGAAUGAAUAUACGAGAGCAUAACUGUCUCUUAUUUAUAAAUAGAAAUUGACCUUCAAGUGAAGAGACUUGAAUCUUUUAAAAAGACGAAAAGACCCUAUAGAGCUUUACUUAUAACUGACUUUAUUUCAGUUCCAAGUUUAGUUGGGGCAACUAGAGGGCUCUUAAACACCUCUUAGAUACAUAAAAAGAUCCAGCAUAGCUGAUUAAUAGAAGAAGCUACCUUAGGGAUAACAG
rnacentral:rRNA from 1 species